rnacentral:snRNA from 1 species
AUGCUCGCUUUGGCAUCACAUAUACUAAAAUUGGAACGAUACAGAGAAGAUUACCAUAACCCCUGCACAAGGAUGACAUACAAAUUCAUGAAGCGUUCCAUAUUUUU